rnacentral:ncRNA from 1 species
ACUAGCGCCAGGACUCUAUGAGUUGACGAGGACCGGAUUAAUCGAAAGAUUCGGCGGAUGAUCCGGAGGUAUGAUACUACCUGAACGAUCGGCAAAAAAGCGGAGUGAUCCGCUAACAGAUCCGAU